rnacentral:rRNA from 1 species
CCUACGGAGGCAGCAGUGAGGAAUAUUGGUCAAUGGGCGCGAGCCUGAACCAGCCAAGUAGCGUGAAGGAUGACUGCCCUACGGGUUGUACACUUCUUUUAUAAAGGAAUAAAGUGAGGCACGUGUGCCUUUUUGUAUGUACUUUAUGAAUAAGGAUCGGCUAACUCCGUGCCAGCAGCCUCGGUAAUACGGAGGAUCCGAGCGUUAUCCGGAUUUAUUGGGUUUAAAGGGAGCGUAGGUGGAUUGUUAAGUAAGUUGUGAAAGUUUGCGGUUAAACCGUAAAAUUGCAUUUGAACCUGGCAGUCUUGAGUACAGUAGAGGUGGGCGGAAUUCGUGGUGUAGCGGUGAAAUGCUUAGAUAUCACGAAGAACUCCGAUUGCGAAGGCAGCUCACUGGACUGCAACUGACACUGAGGCUCGAAAGUGUGGGUAUCAAACAGGAUUAGAUACCCGGGUAGUC